rnacentral:rRNA from 1 species
AGUGAACGCUGGCGGUAGGCCUAACACAUGCAAGUCGAACGGCAGCACAGUAAGAGCUUGCUCUUACGGGUGGCGAGUGGCGGACGGGUGAGGAAUACAUCGGAAUCUACUUUUUCGUGGGGGAUAACGUAGGGAAACUUACGCUAAUACCGCAUACGACCUACGGGUGAAAGCAGGGGAUCUUCGGACCUUUCGCGAUUGAAUGAGCCGAUGUCGGAUUAGCUAGUUGGCGGGGUAAAGGCCCACCAAGGCGACGAUCCGUAGCUGGUCUGAGAGGAUGAUCAGCCACACUGGAACUGAGACACGGUCCAGACUCCUACGGGAGGCAGCAGUGGGGAAUAUUGGACAAUGGGCGCAAGCCUGAUCCAGCCAUACCGCGUGGGUGAAGAAGGCCUUCGGGUUGUAAAGCCCUUUUGUUGGGGAAGAAAAGCAGCAGGUUAAUACCCCGCUGUUCUGACGGUACCCAAAGAAUAAGCACCGGCUAACUUCGAG